GACGAACGCUGGCGGCGUGCCUAACACAUGCAAGUCGAGCGAAUGAAGUUCCUUCGGGAACGGAUUUAGCGGCGGACGGGUGAGUAACACGUGGGCAACUUGCCUCCUAGAGGGGAAUAGCCUUCCGAAAGGGAGAUUAAUACCGCAUAAGAUAUUAGUACCGCAUGGUACAGCAAUUAAAGGAGCAAUCUUCUAUGAGAGGGGCCCGCGGCGCAUUAGCUAGUUGGUGAGGUAACGGCUCACCAAGGCGACGAGGCGUAGCCGACCAGUGAGGGUGAUCGCACACAUUGAGACGGGGCAGCAGUCGAGACUCCUGCGGGAGGCAGGAAUGGGGAAUAUUGCAAAAUGGGGGAAACCAUGAUGGCGCAAGGCCGCGUGAGUGAUGACGGCGGUCAGGUUGAAAAGCUCGGUCUUCAGGGACGGUAAUGACGGUACCUAAGGAGGAAGCCACGGCUAACUACGUG
rnacentral:rRNA from 1 species